rnacentral:rRNA from 1 species
AACGAACGCUGGCGGCGUGCCUAACACAUGCAAGUCGAACGAGAAAGGGGCUUCGGCUCCGAGUAAAGUGGCGCACGGGUGAGUAACACGUAGGUAACCUGCCUCUGAGAUUGGGAUAACCCGUCGAAAGACGAGCUAAUACCGGAUAAGACCACAUUUUUCUUCGGAAAAGGGGUACGAAGUAAGCCUCUACAUGUAAGACUACCACCUUAGUAGUUGGGUCCGUCGC